UGGGCGAAAGCCUGAUGCAGCAACGCCGCGUGUGCGAUGAACGGCCCUCGGGUCGUAAAGCACUUUUCUGAGAGAUGAGCAAGGACAGUAUCUCAGGAAUAAGUCUCGGCUAACUACGUGCCAGCAGCCGCGGUAAAACGUAGGAGGCAAGCGUUAUCCGGAUUCACUGGGCGUAAAGCGCGUGCAGGCGGUUCGGUAAGUUGGGUAUGAAAUCUCCUGGCUUAACUAGGAGAGGUUAUCCAAUACUACCGGACUUGAGAGUGGUAGAGGAAGAUGGAAUUCCCGGUGUAGUGGUGAAAUGCGUAGAUAUCGGGAGGAACACCAGUGGCGAAAGCGAUCUUCUGGACCAUUUCUGACGCUCAGACGCGAAAGCUAGGGUAGUAAACGGGAUUAGAGACCCCGGUAAUCCUAGCCGUAAACGAUGUAAACUUGGCGUCGGUGGCUUAAACACCAUCGGUGCCGCAGCUAACGCGAUAAGUUUACCGCCUGGGGACUACGAUCGCAAGAUUAAAACUCAAAGGAAUUGACGGGGG
rnacentral:rRNA from 1 species